GAUGAACGCUGGCGGCGUGCCUAAUACAUGCAAGUCGAGCGAACGGACGAGAAGCUUGCUUCUCUGAUGUUAGCGGCGGACGGGUGAGUAACACGUGGAUAACCUACCUAUAAGACUGGGAUAACUUCGGGAAACCGGAGCUAAUACCGGAUAAUAUUUUGAACCGCAUGGUUCAAAAGUGAAAGACGGUCUUGCUGUCACUUAUAGAUGGAUCCGCGCUGCAUUAGCUAGUUGGUAAGGUAACGGCUUAUCAAGGCAACGAUGCAUAGCCGACCUGAGAGGGGGAUAGGCCACACUGGAACUGAGACACGGUCCAGACUCCUACGGGAGGCAGCAGUAGGGAAUCUUCCGCAAUGGGCGAAAGCCUGACGGAGCAACGCCGCGUGAGUGAUGAAGGUCUUCGGAUCGUAAAACUCUGUUAUUAGGGAAGAACAUAUGUGUAAGUAACUGUGCACAUCUUGACGGUACCUAAUCAGAAAGCCACGGCUAACUACGUG
rnacentral:rRNA from 1 species